ACGGAGGGUGCAAGCGUUAAUCGGAAUUACUGGGCGUAAAGCGCACGCAGGCGGUCUGUCAAGUCGGAUGUGAAAUCCCCGGGCUCAACCUGGGAACUGCAUUCGAAACUGGCAGGCUAGAGUCUUGUAGAGGGGGGUAGAAUUCCAGGUGUAGCGGUGAAAUGCGUAGAGAUCUGGAGGAAUACCGAUGGCGAAGGCGGCCCCCUGGACAAAGACUGACGCUCAGGUGCGAAAGCGUGGGGAGCAAACAG
rnacentral:rRNA from 1 species